rnacentral:rRNA from 1 species
AGCGAACGCUGGCGGCAGGCUUAACACAUGCAAGUCGAACGCAUCACUUCGGUGGUGAGUGGCAGACGGGUGAGUAACACGUGGGAACGUACCCUUCGAUCUGGGAUAACUUCGGGAAACUGGAGCUAAUACCGGAUACGCCCUUUUGGGGAAAGGUUUACGGUCGUAGGAUCGGCCCGCGUCUGAUUUGCUAGUUGGUGGGGUAACGGCCUACCAAGGCGACGAUCAGUAGCUGGUCUGAGAGGAUGAUCAGCCACACUGGGACUGAGACACGGCCCAGACUCCUACGGGAGGCAGCAGUGGGGAAUAUUGGACAAUGGGCGCAAGCCUGAUCCAGCCAUGCCGCGUGAGUGAUGAAGGCCUUAGGGUUGUAAAGCUCUUUUGUCCGGGACGAUAAUGACGGUACCGGAAGAAUAAGCCCCGGCUAACUUCGUG